AUUGAACGCUGGCGGCAGGCCUAACACAUGCAAGUCGAACGAGUGGCGGACGGGUGAGUAAUGUCUGGGAAACUGCCUGAUGGAGGGGGAUAACUACUGGAAACGGUCGCUAAUACCGCAUACCAUCGGAUGUUCCCAGAUGGGAUUAGCUAGUAGGUGGGGUAAAGGCGCACCUAGGCGACGAUCCCUAGCUGGUCUGAGAGGAUGACCAGCCACACUGGAGCUGAGACACGGUCCAGACGCCUAAGGGAGGCAGCAGUGGGGAAUAUUGCACAAUGGGCGCAAGCCUGAUGCAGCCAUGCCGCGUGUAUGAAGAAGGCCUGCGGGUGGUAAAGUACUUUCAGUCGGGAGGCGUUACCGACAGAAGAAGCACCGGCUAACUCCGUGCCAGCAGCCGCGGUAAUUC
rnacentral:rRNA from 1 species